GUGGCGAGCGGCGGACGGGUGAGUAAUGCAUAGGAAUCUGCCCGGUAGUGGGGGAUAACGUGGGGAAACCCACGCUAAUACCGCAUACGUCCUACGGGAGAAAGCGGAGGAUCUUCGGACUUCGCGCUAUCGGAUGAGCCUAUGUCGGAUUAGCUAGUUGGUAAGGUAACGGCUUACCAAGGCGACGAUCCGUAGCUGGUCUGAGAGGAUGAUCAGCCACACUGGGACUGAGACACGGCCCAGACUCCUACGGGAGGCAGCAGUGGGGAAUAUUGGACAAUGGGCGAAAGCCUGAUCCAGCCAUGCCGCGUGUGUGAAGAAGGCUUUCGGGUUGUAAAGCACUUUCAGCGAGGAAGAAAGCCUGGUGGUUAAUACCCAUCAGGAAGGACAUCACUCGCAGAAGAAGCACCGGCUAACUCCGUGCCAGCAGCCGCGGUAAUACGGAGGGUGCGAGCGUUAAUCGGAAUUACUGGGCGCAAAGCGCGCGUAGGUGGCUUGGCACGCCCGUUGUUAAAUUCCCGGGCUCCAACCUGUGAACGG
rnacentral:rRNA from 1 species